GAUGAACGCUGGCGGCGUGCCUAAUACAUGCAAGUCGAGCGAACGGACGAGAAGCCUGCUUCUCUGAUGUUAGCGGCGGACGGGUGAGUAACACGUGGAUAACCUACCUAUAAGACUGGGAUAACUUCGGGAAACCGGAGCUAAUACCGGAUAAUAUUUUGAACCGCAUGGUUCAAAAGUGAAAGACGGUCUUGCUGUCACUUAUAGAUGGAUCCGCGCUGCAUUAGCUAGUUGGUAAGGUAACGGCUUACCAAGGCAACGAUGCAUAGCCGACCUGAGAGGGUGAUCGGCCACACUGGAACUGAGACACGGUCCAGACUCCUACGGGAGGCAGCAGUAGGGAAUCUUCCGCAAUGGGCGAAAGCCUGACGGAGCAACGCCGCGUGAGUGAUGAAGGUCUUCGGAUCGUAAAACUCUGUUAUUAGGGAAGAACAUAUGUGUAAGUAACUGUGCACAUCUUGACGGUACCUAAUCAGAAAGCCACGGCUAACUACGU
rnacentral:rRNA from 1 species